AGGAAUCAGGAUGUGUGCCAAACAGUAGUGGUGGAUGACUUCAUUCUUCUAUUAUGAAAAUGUUCAAGAAUAAAAAAGAGAAAUGAGACAAUGGAUACCAAUAGGCAAAGAACCCAAUGGUGCAUAGUCCAUGAAGCUGGGUCCUCAAAAGGCUUGAUACCAUGCUGAAAGGCUGGAAACUUCCAGGAGAGGUGUUGGGAAUAAACUUGUAUGGAAAGGCUGAAGAAGAUGGAGUCUGACAUCAGCAGACAAUGGCAGCAGGAAUAGAUACACUUGAUCAUGAAACAAAGGAACUUGUGUAGUGCUCUGGAUUUUACCUUCCCAGCCCAUUGGAUUGUGCUGCUCACAUUCAGGUCAACAUCAGCCAUCACACCAGCUAAGGAGAGAGAAGCCUGAGGAGGAAUCUACUGCAUCUUAAUCUUGGCCUUCAGAAGGCAGGAUAUGAUGAAUAAGUUUCUGUUAUUUAAUCCAUCCGGCCUGUGGUACCGCGUUCUGCCACGCUCAGCAAAGGAACAUACUAACCUUCAGGGCACACCUGAUAGGAGGAUGAGAAGCCAACUGGAUCCUGGAAACUCAUCACACUUGGGGGAACCAAAGCUUGCUGGUUUAGUCAUCAUUCACUGAGUAUCUAUGGUCUAUCAGCACUGGAUACAUGAAGCAGGCACCAAGGGACAUAAAUGUCCAUGUACUUGUAUGAGGGAAACACAACUUUAAACUUUGUAUUCUGAGGGUCCAAGUCAUCUCAUAUAGGAUGAAACAUUGACUUGUAAUUAACCAUAAAUUUUAUAUUAGGGUCUGACAUACUUCAAAUUCUAUCCUUUAAAAAUGUUCUUGGUGUCAUCUUUGCAAUAAAUAGUUUGCAAAGGCAGGGCCCAGCACCACAUACACCUUUUAUGUCAUGAAAGUUGCCUUGAUGACACACCAGUUAGAUCUCAGCAGUUUUGCUUAGUAGUUCAAAAAACUCUACCCCUCAUUUCUGACUAGAAAGAAAAAAAGGAGAAGGAAUACCAAUUUAGUAAUCUUGAUUAAUUUUACUCUAAAAUAAAACAUUAGCCUUUUUAUGAUAAAAAUUUAUGGAAAGAGGCACUUGGUGUCUCUUGUUCUGGGAAAUAUUUUGCUACCUCUACUUUCUUGAAUUUGAUUUUGUUUAAAAGGAGAACUAGAAGUCUUGAUGGGACCCCUGGCAAAGUAUACAAAGAGGAGCCUGGCCAUGGAGCAACACCAGACCCAGAAGAGGCAAGGCGUCACAUCAUAAAUUCUAGCUCAGCCACACCUGUGCAACACUCUGCCAUGUUUCUGAUGCUUCUCCCUAAAGUUCAAAUCUCACGUCACUCAUCAUUUGCUCUUUAAUCUUUACUGAGUCCUGAGCAUGAGGGUCAGCUCUAUAUUUGUGGUGCUCUUAUGCUCCAUAGUAUUUAAAUUGCUCAACUGCCACU